GUGAAUCAUCAAAUCUUUGAACGCAAAUUGCGCCUUUUUCGGAAGGCAUGUCUGUUUGAGGGCACCAUUUAACAAAUAAUGUGCAUUUCGUGUGCACACGUUGAUGAGCUUUCCAAAUUUAUGUAUUAUUUUUGGUGGCGCAUAAUAAACAGCGCGAUGCUUUUUUUCAGUUCGAGUGUAGUAAAAUUUUUUUUCGGCGCUUGGGUUGUUGGAAAGUGUGCGCAAUGGGUGUGGCGAUUCUACUAACCCUGCCCCAACGCCACUCUUUCUCGCGAAAGAAUAUUAAUCUUCAGGGCCUCAA
rnacentral:misc_RNA from 1 species